ensembl:lncRNA
AAUAGUGGUAGUGGUGGUAAUAGUGGUUAUAAAAAUGGAUCUAUUAGUUAUUCACAUAACAACCACAAUACUGUAAAUAGUAAUAAUAGUAGUAGUAAUAAUAAUAAGAAUAUGAGUUAUAACAUGAAAAAGUUGAAAAAUUAUGAAAAAAAAAAUAUGGACUAUAGUGCAUGGUCUAAAAUAUCUAAACCACCUACAAAUAAAAAAAAAAAUGAAAAAAUAAAUAUUAGUUCUGCGGGUGAUAAUAAUAAUAAUAUUGGAAAUAUUAUUACAAACAAUUCUUUUUCCAAUACUGUUAGUUAUAACAAUAAAUACAAUAACAAUAAUGAUAUAUAUCAUUCGAGUAAGAAUACAGUAGGAGUUAAUAAUGUUAGUAAUAGUGAUUAUUCUAGUGGUGUGGUGGAUACUAUGAGAAGUGGUGGCACUGGUGUUAAUAAUAACGUCGGUUCGGAAAAUAAUACAACGUCGUACCAUCGCAGUAGUGAAUCAGCUUAUCAUCACAAAGUGAAUAAUAUGAAUAUUCCUAAUAAUAAUAGAUUUAGUCAUUCAAGUAAGGAUAAUAAUAAGGGGGGGGUUUCUGUUAAUAUAAGUAAAGAUGGGAAUACAAAGAAAAAGACUGAAGAAGAUGUUAAUUCUGCAGGUUAUGGUAUGGGUACUACAGGUUCAAGUGGAGUUGACAAUAGUAAUAAAAAAAAGAAAGACUCAAUUACAAUGGUGCAUAUCGGAAGUAAGGAUCAGGACAAUGUUGCAGGUGUAGGUGGAGGUUCCGGUGCAGGUGCCAGUGUUGGUGCAGGUACAAGUGUAGGUGUAGGUUCCGGUCAAUAUAAUAGAAAUGCAAAAAAAAUUGAUAAUAAAAAGUUAGAUAAUAGUGGAAGUGUUAAUAAUGUGAAAAAUAAAAAAUUAUAUAACAAUUAUGGUUCGUCUGGUACUAGUAAAAACACAAGUACUAACAUUAGUAACAACAAUAAUAAGAAAAUUGAUUUGAGUAAUGAAAGAAGAACUAUUGGAGAAGGGACUGUAUCUGGUGAUUUGAAUACUAUGGCUAACAAUAACAACAAUGUUAGUAAAAACAAUUUACCUGCUCAUAGACAAAGAGAAAAAUUAAAAAUUCAAAAUGUUGAAAUGAAGAGAAUAGAGGAAAGGGUAUAUGGUAGUAAAAAAACGAGUGUUUCUAGCAUUCACAGUCAUGGAGUUGAUAAACAAGAAUUGGAUCAGGAUAAAAAAAAGACAUCAAUAGUAGAUAAUAAUACUGGUAACAGUAUGAAUAAUGAUAGUGUUAAUACUAGCAGUGGUAAUAACAAUAGUAACAAAAAAGAUGAUCAGUUUUUGUUUUCAGAAAAAAACAAAUACGUUAAUACAAGUAAUAGUGGUAACAAGAACGAUACUGAAUAUGGUGAUAUUAGUAGUAGUAGUAGUAGUAUGACGAAUAAAGAUAUGAGGAAAAAUAAAAAGGUAGAUAAUAUGAAUGAUAUAGGAGAUAAUAAUAGUGUUAAUGGUAGUAACAAUAAAAAGAAUAGAGGAAUAAUAUCAGGUAGAGAUUCUUUUAAUAGUCAAGAUACAAAUAAUGUAACUGCAAGAAAAGGGAAUGUCGUAAAUGAUGAAAAUAAAAGCAAUUAUAAUAAAUAUACGAAUAUAAAUGAUUACAAUAACGCAUCCUUAUCAUCACCAUCAUCUAAUGUGAAAACAAUAAGAGUAGAUCUACAUCUACUUAUUCGAACUCUAAAAAUUCUGUUUGGGGAGGAAAAGUAUCAUAUGCUGAAGUUAUAAGACGUAAUCAAAAUAAAGAAUUAAUGUUAAAAAAUAAUACA